ACCCCGCCUCCAUUUCCCAUGCCGGCCACUAUGAAGGGCCAUCGACCUCUGGGUCGGGGUCCGCGCGUAUACGUCCCCGCGCAUGCUCGUCCCUCUUGCUCGCUCCCCGCGCCCUUCGCCCCUGUUUGAAGUGCCCGCCUCUUUGGGGAGAGGGGCAGCGCCCUAAGGGGGCGGGGUCCGCGCCGCGCAUAGUCGUCACGCCUGUUCACCGCGCCUUCCCGCCCGUUUCAGAUCCCGCCUCUGGGGGGAGGGGCAGCUCCCUAAGGGCGCGGUGUCGGCGCGGAGCCGAGCCGCGCAUGCCCUUCCAGCUUGCUACCUCUGCCAUUUACAUUGCUUGCCUCUCUACGGGGUAAAGGCACCGCCCUAAGGGGUCGGGGUCUGCGCGCAGCCUAUGGCGCGCAUGUUCGUCCAACGGUCGAUACCGUACACUUCCGGUGCCAGCUAUCUUUACUUCUAACAGUGUUCACCCAUCUAAGGCAGAGGAAGCUUUCCGCCUGCGCCUGGUCGUCGGUGCUUCCCACCCAGCCUCCGUCAAAGCCUUCUCCCCGUAACGCUGCCUUGCCUCUCCAAAGCCCUGCGCCGCCUGCAGGCGUCUUCCGACAGCGACUGCCCGCAGCCUCCUCCCGCCGUCUUCCUCACGCAUGCCUGUCCUCGCAGCGGCAGCUCACGGUCUCCACAGGGAACAACUUCGUCUUAAAGUCAACUCAUGAAAGUUCUACUUGGUCCAUGUCUGCACACAUCUGCUCUCUACCUCAAGGGUCACAUGAGGCAGGAGGAAGAGUGGCCACGCUGGUUGAAGGACCGGGGAUGAGCUGCCACAGGCUGCCAGGGUCCCGGCACUGCUCCCCACACUCACCCUCCUGAGGAGCGGACGCCCAGACCCGAACAUCUGCCAUCCACACCCCUGGAAGGCUGCAUUGCUUAUUCCUGGGACAAGAAGGGGCCCUAGCCCAGGACCCACUUUGCAAAUGAGGAGACUGAGCCCAGCUCAGGGUUCUUCCUACAGAACUGUCACUUCUACCAGACAGUACAACCUUUGCCCUGAAAGUCAACUCCAGCAAUUUCACUGGAUGAGCAUAGCCUUCCAGAUGAGCAAAGGCAGGAGCAGGCACACCACACCCACCGUGCAAGAUUCCCACAGGUCCGUGCAGGCCUGGCCCAGCUCCAGACCUCAGCUGUGGCACUCUUGCGGCCGUCUGCAAACGCAGGUUCAGGGCAUGAGGUCAGAGGCACUUGGGCAGCAGACUCCCCACCUAGCUCAAUGCCUUUCCUUGGGCCCACACAUGUUCCUAGAGCCUACAGUCAAGGUGAAGAUGGUUCUGGGCUGGGCACAGCCUUUUCCACUGUGGGAAACACCGAGCAGGAGCAUCAAUGAAAGGCAAGGAGGUGAAGAGAGGAGUCAGGGUCAGGGCCAGAAUGUGUGGGCGGCAAGGGAGAAGAUCAAGCUCUCGUCUUAAACUGGAGCCCCUUUGGGUUUUCCCAUUUCCUCUUCAUGCAGCCCUACUCCAGGGCCAGCCCCUCAUAUUUCCUAUGAGCCUAGAAGGUGCACACAUGACCCCAUGUUGUGCCGAGAAACAUCACUAGGGGUGUUUUUCAGCCUCACUGCCCAGAGCAAGAAGCUGCAGCUCAGGACAAGCAACUAGCUCCAGGAGUCAGUGCCUGGGUGUGACCGGAGAGGGCCAGCCCCAUACCUCAC